UACGGAGGGGGCAAGCGUUGUUCGGAAUUACUGGGCGUAAAGCGCGUGUAGGCGGCUCUUCAAGUCGGGCGUGAAAGCUCCAGGCUUAACCUGGGAAUUGCGCUCGAUACUGUUGAGCUAGAGUGUGGAAGGGGCUACUGGAAUUCCGUGUGUAGCGGUGAAAUGCGUAGAUAUGCGGAGGAACACCGAUGGCGAAGGCAACCCCCUGGGCCUGCACUGACGCUCAUGCACGAAAGCGUGGGGAGCAAACAGG
rnacentral:rRNA from 1 species